rnacentral:rRNA from 1 species
ACGAACGCUGGCGGCUGCUUAACACAUGCAAGUCGAACGGAGUGGCGAACGGGUGAGUAACGCGUGAGCAACCUGCCUAUGACAGUGGGAUAGCCUCGGGAAACCGGGAUUAAUACCGCAUAGUCAUAGAUGGGCUCGCGUCUGAUUAGCUAGUUGGUGAGAUAACAGCCCACCAAGGCGACGAUCAGUAGCCGGUGAGGGAGGAUGGACGGCCACAUUGAAACGGAGACACAGUCCAAACUCCUCCGGGAGGCAGCAGUGGGGAAUAUUGCACAAUGGGGGAAGCCCUGAUGCAGCUACGCCGCUUGAACGAAGAAGGUAUUCGUAUCGUAAAGUUCUGUCCUAUGGGAAGCAGUACCAUAGAAGAAAGCUCCGGCUAAAUACGUGCCAGCCGCCGCGGUAAUUC